rnacentral:rRNA from 1 species
GACGAACGCUGGCGGCGUGCUUAACACAUGCAAGUCGAACGGAAAGGCCUCUUUCGGGGGGUACUCGAGUGGAGAACGGGUGAGUAACACGUGAGUAACCUGCCCUUGACUUUGGGAUAACUUCAGGAAACUGGGGCUAAUACCGGAUAGGAGCUCCUGCUGCAUGGUGGGGGUUGGAAAGUUUCGGCGGUUGGGGAUGGACUCGCGGCUUAUCAGCUUGUUGGUGGGGUAGUGGCUUACCAAGGCUUUGACGGGUAGCCGGCCUGAGAGGGUGACCGGCCACAUUGGGACUGAGAUACGGCCCAGACUCCUACGGGAGGCAGCAGUGGGGAAUAUUGCACAAUGGGUGGAAGCCUGAUGCAGCAACGCCGUGUGCGGGAUGACGGCCUUCGGGUUGGAAACCGCUUUCGCUCAUGACGAAGCUUUGUGUGACGGUAGUGGGUAAAGAAGCACCGGCUAACUACGUG